UGGCGAACGGGUGAGUAACACGUGAGUAACCUGCCCUUGACUUUGGGAUAACUUCAGGAAACUGGGGCUAAUACCGGAUAGGAGCUCCUGCUGCAUGGUGGGGGUUGGAAAGUUUCGGCGGUUGGGGAUGGACUCGCGGCCUAUCAGCUUGUUGGUGGGGUAAUGGCCUACCAAGGCGGCGACGGGUAGCCGGCCUGAGAGGGUGUACGGCCACAUUGGGACUGAGAUACGGCCCAG
rnacentral:rRNA from 1 species